rnacentral:rRNA from 1 species
AAGUCGUAACAAGGUUUCCGUAGGUGAACCUGCGGAAGGAUCAUUGUCGAAACCUGUCAAAAACAGAACGACCCGCGAACCAACGAUCACCACUCGCGGUGGGCUGGUUUCUUAGCCGAUUCCCUGGCCCGCCGGAUCCGUGGUUUCGCGUACCGUCCAGGUCGGGAGCUCUGUCUCGCUCUGGUCGUGCGCGUUGCUUCCGGAUAUCACCAAACCCCGGCACGAAAAGUGUCAAGGAACAUGCAACCGAACGGCCGGCAUUCGCCUCCCCGGAGACGGUGUGUGCGCGGAUGCUGAGCUGCGAUCUAAAGUCUAAAACGACUCUCGGCAACGGAUAUCUCGGCUCUCGCAUCGAUGAAGAACGUAGCGAAAUGCGAUACUUGGUGUGAAUUGCAGAAUCCCGUGAACCAUCGAGUCUUUGAACGCAAGUUGCGCCCCAAGCCUUCGGGCCGAGGGCACGUCUGCCUGGGUGUCACAAAUCGUCGUCCCCUCUCAUCCUCUAAGGAUUCGGGACGGAAGCUGGUCUCCCGUGUGUUACCGMACGCGGUUGGCCAAAAUCCGAGCCAAGGACGCAGGGAGCGUCCCGACAUGCGGUGGUGAACUCGAUCCACUCUCAUAUCGUCGGCCGCUCCUGUCCGGAAGCUCUAGAUGACCCAAAGUCCUCAAAGCGACCCCAGGUCAGGCGGGAUU